UAGUAGCGUGGGUUUGUAACUUAGCAGGGCAUUAAAGUGAUUGGUUGCCUGCAUGAAGCCUAACCAGGUGAGGUUAUGGUGGUCUUGGUCUGUUCACCUUGGGUGAAAUCGCACAAAGUGCGCCCCUAAGCCCUUGGGUCAGUAGGGUUCCCCAUCCACCAUGGUUGGGUAGCUAAUAAAAAUUGAUGUUCAGAUUGGGGCUGGGUUCUAACCCAAGCCCCGCAGACCAAGAUAUGUCUAUCCUCAGCGUGCUGCCUGGUGUGGUAUCUCACUCCACAUUCACUUUUUGCAAUCCACUAAUCCAAUUUUUCCGCUGCGUUCUGGUUUUAAACUCUCCCCCUCUUCCAUUAAUGUAGAUUGUCACUUGUAUUAAUAAUAACCAAAAAAUC
rnacentral:lncRNA from 1 species